GCAAAAAUGGCAAAUUGGUUUCCUUUGACUAAUCCAACUUAGCAUUUCCAUUAGCAAGGAUAAACAGAAGUAUAAGAGACAUUUUGCUGUCAUUUCUGAACCCUAGAAGCAGCAGCCACAGACCAAAACACUCUGAUUCUCUCACUCUUGCAUUUUGCAUUUUGAGAAUUUCUGUCAAAUCCUCCAAACCCUCGAGCUUCC
rnacentral:lncRNA from 1 species